CAUCACUGACAGGGUGGAGAACAGUUGGGCAAACCACAAGAGACUUUCAGGGAAGGCCCCUGAGCAAACCUCCAGACCCAUCCCUUCAGAGCGUAAUCCAUAUGAUGUGGACUUGGUUCACAGCAGAUUAAUUCAGAUC